CUACAGGCGUGAGCCACUGUGCCUGGCCAUAAUCUUGUAACUCUUUACAGAUAUAUUCUGAAUCUAAUCUUUUGAGGUUUCUUGGUGGAGGAAGCCUGAGAGGAAGAACACCCCCAUUGUAAGUUGGGAACCAAGAUUCUAAUAAGUGACACACUCCAAGUCACUUAGAAUGGCGAGAAAUGAUUCCAGAAAAGAAUCUCUGUUUCCUGGCAACCAGCUCAGUACUCUCUGAAGGGCACUUGGAAGGAAAGUUCAAUCAAUGGAAGGGUCAAAUGUUUCUUUUUCAAAUGGCCAUUUUGCAUGUAAUGGCUGUUCUGUGCAGACAUUGUGGGCUGUUCUUCUCUUGUUCAUAAGAUCUAGGGUCCUUCUGUGCAAAUGUAUGUGCUGUGGGUAAGAAAUUACUUCAACUGAGUUUAUUGGCAUUUCUUAGCACAUACGAGUUCGAAGAAAAUUUAUUACAGGUAGUUGCAGUCUGGCAUCAUGUGGCACAUCAUCACUGUCUCUUCUGCAAAUUUCUGAGAAUAAGAAGAAUUGGUUGAAAAAACUUCUAACAUCUCCAUCGGUUUGUAAUCAGCGAAUACAAUUAUGAAGCAAUUUCCUACCUGUUUUUUUAUUUGAUCCAUGAACUUUUCAAGAGAUGUGUGCUAUUGCUGUUGUGACCAUUAGCUCCCAUUUCUCAGAUGAGGAAACUGAGGCUCAGUGAGCCUUAAAUGACUUGCCCAAAACUAUAAGAUGGAAAUCUCUGCCCAUAAAAAUCUUCCACAGUAAACAGACACUGAUGCAAACACACUGGGCUUCCUUCUAUUACCUCAUCAUGCAUGUGCUCCUUAAAAUUGAUCACCAGUGACUUCCUCUCUUCUCCCUUUCCCUGUGCUUACGUAAUUCCUUUCCUGAAUGACUUAUCUUAGUACCAAGCUUUGUCCUCCUUCCCGAGUAGCCCAGUAUGAAGAGAACAUAAGGGAGACCCAUUUAGUAGUGGGAAAAGUAACUACCGGGUGAAAAUGACGUUGAUGUUUUCCCAACGUCAGCAACACUGCUUAGACUACUACUCCAAUAGUUAAUCAAGCUGGACUUCUAAUGUUAGGGACUGAGUUUUAUGUCCCCUAGUAUGUACUUUCUCUUCUAUAAUAACAAUGAAAAUACAGACCACCCAAUUUGAAAGUGGGCAAAGAGCUUGAAUAGAGAAUUUCUUCAAAGCAGAUAUACAAAUGACCAAUAAGCAAAUGAAAAGAUGCUCAACAUCUCCAACAUUAGGGAAAUGCAGCUCAACACCACAGUGGGAUGCCACUGCA